GGGUUGUGAGGUUAAGCGACUAAGCGUACACGGUGGAUGCCCUGGCAGUCAGAGGCGAUGAAGGACGUGCUAAUCUGCGAUAAGCGCCGGUAAGGUGAUAUGAACCGUUAUAACCGGCGAUUUCCGAAUGGGGAAACCCAGUGUGAUUCGUCACACUAUCAUUAACUGAAUCCAUAGGUUAAUGAGGCGAACCGGGGGAACUGAAACAUCUAAGUACCCCGAGGAAAAGAAAUCAACCGAGAUUCCCCCAGUAGCGGCGAGCGAACGGGGAGGAGCCCAGAGCCUGAAUCAGCAUGUGUGUUAGUGGAAGCGUCUGGAAAGGCGCGCGAUACAGGGUGACAGCCCCGUACACAAAAGCGCAUGUGCUGUGAGCUCGAUGAGUAGGGCGGGACACGUGGUAUCCUGUCUGAAUAUGGGGGGACCAUCCUCCAAGGCUAAAUACUCCUGACUGACCGAUAGUGAACCAGUACCGUGAGGGAAAGGCGAAAAGAACCCCGGCGAGGGGAGUGAAAAAGAACCUGAAACCGUGUACGUACAAGCAGUGGGAGCACCCUUCGGGGUGUGACUGCGUACCUUUUGUAUAAUGGGUCAGCGACUUAUAUUCUGUAGCAAGGUUAACCGUAUAGGGGAGCCGGAGGGAAACCGAGUCUUAACCGGGCGUUAAGUUGCAGGGUAUAGACCCGAAACCCGGUGAUCUAGCCAUGGGCAGGUUGAAGGUUGGGUAACACUAACUGGAGGACCGAACCGACUAAUGUUGAAAAAUUAGCGGAUGACCUGUGGCUGGGGGUGAAAGGCCAAUCAAACCGGGAGAUAGCUGGUUCUCCCCGAAAGCUAUUUAGGUAGCGCCUCGUGAAUUCAUCUCCGGGGGUAGAGCACUGUUUCGGCUAGGGGGCCAUCCCGGCUUACCAACCCGAUGCAAACUGCGAAUACCGGAGAAUGUUAUCACGGGAGACACACGGCGGGUGCUAACGUCCGUCGUGAAGAGGGAAACAACCCAGACCGCCAGCUAAGGUCCCAAAGUCAUGGUUAAGUGGGAAACGAUGUGGGAAGGCCCAGACAGCCAGGAUGUUGGCUUAGAAGCAGCCAUCAUUUAAAGAAAGCGUAAUAGCUCACUGGUCGAGUCGGCCUGCGCGGAAGAUGUAACGGGGCUAAACCAUGCACCGAAGCUGCGGCAGCGAACGUAUCACCCAAGACAACUUUACGGAGUUGACGAUUGACGGAGCGAAGCGACGUCAAAGCGUUCAUUAAAGUCGAGUUGGCUUAGGGAUACGUUCGUUGGGUAGGGGAGCGUUCUGUAAGCCUGUGAAGGUGUGUCGUGAGGCAUGCUGGAGGUAUCAGAAGUGCGAAUGCUGACAUAAGUAACGAUAAAGCGGGUGAAAAGCCCGCUCGCCGGAAGACCAAGGGUUCCUGUCCAACGUUAAUCGGGGCAGGGUGAGUCGACCCCUAAGGCGAGGCCGAAAGGCGUAGUCGAUGGGAAACGGGUUAAUAUUCCCGUACUUGGUGUUACUGCGAAGGGGGGACGGAGAAGGCUAUGUUGGCCGGGCGACGGUUGUCCCGGUUUAAGCGUGUAGGUGUGUGUUCCAGGUAAAUCCGGUUCACUUUAACACUGAGGCGUGAUGACGAGGCACUACGGUGCUGAAGCAACAAAUGCCCUGCUUCCGUGAAAGCCUCUAAGCAUCAGGUAACACGAAAUCGUACCCCAAACCGACACAGGUGGUCAGGUAGAGAAUACCAAGGCGCUUGAGAGAACUCGGGUGAAGGAACUAGGCAAAAUGGUGCCGUAACUUCGGGAGAAGGCACGCUGACACGUAGGUGAAGUGAUUUACUCACGGAGCUGAAGUCAGUCGAAGAUACCAGCUGGCUGCAACUGUUUAUUAAAAACACAGCACUGUGCAAACACGAAAGUGGACGUAUACGGUGUGACGCCUGCCCGGUGCCGGAAGGUUAAUUGAUGGGGUCAGCGCAAGCGAAGCUCCUGAUCGAAGCCCCGGUAAACGGCGGCCGUAACUAUAACGGUCCUAAGGUAGCGAAAUUCCUUGUCGGGUAAGUUCCGACCUGCACGAAUGGCGUAAUGAUGGCCGUGCUGUCUCCACCCGAGACUCAGUGAAAUUGAACUCGCUGUGAAGAUGCAGUGUACCCGCGGCAAGACGGAAAGACCCCGUGAACCUUUACUAUAGCUUGACACUGAACAUUGAGCCUUGAUGUGUAGGAUAGGUGGGAGGCUUUGAAGUGUGGACGCCAGUCUGCAUGGAGCCGACCUUGAAAUACCACCCUUUAAUGUUUGAUGUUCUAACGUGGACCCGUAAUCCGGGUUGCGGACAGUGUCUGGUGGGUAGUUUGACUGGGGCGGUCUCCUCCUAAAGAGUAACGGAGGAGCACGAAGGUUGGCUAAUCCUGGUCGGACAUCAGGAGGUUAGUGCAAUGGCAUAAGCCAGCUUGACUGCGAGCGUGACGGCGCGAGCAGGUGCGAAAGCAGGUCAUAGUGAUCCGGUGGUUCUGAAUGGAAGGGCCAUCGCUCAACGGAUAAAAGGUACUCCGGGGAUAACAGGCUGAUACCGCCCAAGAGUUCAUAUCGACGGCGGUGUUUGGCACCUCGAUGUCGGCUCAUCACAUCCUGGGGCUGAAGUAGGUCCCAAGGGUAUGGCUGUUCGCCAUUUAAAGUGGUACGCGAGCUGGGUUUAGAACGUCGUGAGACAGUUCGGUCCCUAUCUGCCGUGGGCGCUGGAGAACUGAGGGGGGCUGCUCCUAGUACGAGAGGACCGGAGUGGACGCAUCACUGGUGUUCGGGUUGUCAUGCCAAUGGCACUGCCCGGUAGCUAAAUGCGGAAGAGAUAAGUGCUGAAAGCAUCUAAGCACGAAACUUGCCCCGAGAUGAGUUCUCCCUGAGACUUUAGGUCUCCUGAAGGAACGUUGAAGACGACGACGUUGAUAGGCCGGGUGUGUAAGCGCAGCGAUGCGUUGAGCUAACCGGUACUAAUGAACCGUGAGGCUUAACCUUACAACGCCGAAG
rnacentral:rRNA from 1 species